rnacentral:lncRNA from 1 species
UAAUACUCUCAUAACCUAUAGCUUAUGAGGCCUAUAUAUGAAUUGAGCUAGAAUACUUUCAAAAGCACCAACCUCUUGGUGCUUUUGAGUUUCUAGCUAUUGGAUCUACUUUGGAUUAAACACUAUUCCACCUACCACCACCUACCACCACCUACCACCAUCAUCUCAACCUAACAUCUUUCCAUCCAAUGGCUAACAACUCAAAAGUACCACCUUUCCAUCCAAUGGCUAACAACUCAAAAGUACCACCUUCAU